UACGAAGGGGCUAGCGUUGCUCGGAAUCACUGGGCGUAAAGCGCACGUAGGCGGAUCUUUAAGUCAGGGGUGAAAUCCUGGAGCUCAACUCCAGAACUGCCUUUGAUACUGGGGAUCUCGAGUCCGGAAGAGGUGAGUGGAACUCCGAGUGUAGAGGUGAAAUUCGUAGAUAUUCGGAAGAACACCAGUGGCGAAGGCGGCUCACUGGUCCGGUACUGACGCUGAGGUGCGAAAGCGUGGGGAGCAAACAGG
rnacentral:rRNA from 1 species